GAAUUCGAUUAACGCGAAGAACCUUACCCAGGCUUGAACUGCGAGUGACCACUCCCGAAAGGGAGCUUCCGCAAGGACACUCGUAGAGGUGCUGCAUGGCUGUCGUCAGCUCGUGUCGUGAGAUGUUGGGUUAAGUCCCGCAACGAGCGCAACCCUUGUUUGCUGUUGCCAUCAGGUAAUGCUGGGCACUCUGCAAAGACUGCCGGUGAUAAACCGGAGGAAGGUGGGGAUGACGUCAAGUCAGCAUGGCCUUUAUGUCUGGGGCUACACACGUGCUACAAUGGCCGGUACAAACCGUCGCAUAGCCGCAAGGUGAAGCUAAUCGGAGAAAGCCGGUCUCAGUUCGGAUAGCAGGCUGCAACUCGCCUGCUUGAAGUUGGAAUCGCUAGUAAUCGCGGAUCAGCACGCCGCGGUGAAUACGUUCCCGGGCCUUGUCACACCGAAUCACUA
rnacentral:rRNA from 1 species